AUUGAACGCUGGCGGCAGGCUUAACACAUGCAAGUCGAGCGGGGGAAGGUAGCUUGCUACCGGACCUAGCGGCGGACGGGUGAGUAAUGCUUAGGAAUCUGCCUAUUAGUGGGGGACAACAUCUCGAAAGGGAUGCUAAUACCGCAUACGUCCUACGGGAGAAAGCAGGGGAUCUUAGGACCUUGCGCUAAUAGAUGAGCCGAAGUCGGAUUAGCUAGUUGGUGGGGUAAAGGCCUACCAAGGCGACGAUCUGUAGCGGGUCUGAGAGGAUGAUCCGCCACACUGGGACUGAGAUACGGCCCAGACUCCUACGGGAGGCAGCAGUGGGGAAUAUUGGACAAUGGGCGGAAGCCUUAUCCAGCCAUGCCGCGUGUGUGAAGAAGGCCUUAUGGUUGUAAAGCACUUUAAGCGAGGAGGAGGCUACUUUAGUUAAUACCUAGAGAUAGUGGACGUUACUCGCAGAAUAAGCACCGGCUAACUCUGUGCCAGCCGCCGCGGUAA
rnacentral:rRNA from 1 species